rfam:Myotis brandtii contig212082, whole genome shotgun sequence.
GCCCUUGUGGCUCAGUGUUAGAGCACCAGCCUGCGCACCGAAGGGUUGAAGGUUCGAUUCCCCUCAAGGGUA